rnacentral:rRNA from 1 species
GUGGGGAAUUUUGGACAAUGGGCGAAAGCCUGAUCCAGCCAUGCCGCGUGUGUGAAGAAGGUCUUCGGAUUGUAAAGCACUUUAAGUUGGGAGGAAGGGCAGUAAGUUAAUACCUUGCUGUUUUGACGUUACCGACAGAAUAAGCACCGGCUAACUUCGUGCCAGCAGCCGCUGUAAUACGAAGGGUGCAAGCGUUAAUCGGAAUUACUGGGCGUAAAGCGCGCGUAGGUGGUUUUGUAAGUUGGAGGUGAAAUCCCCGGGCUCAACCUGGGAACUGCCUCCAAAACUGCAUGACUAGAGUACGGUAGAGGGUAGUGGAAUUUCCUGUGUAGCGGUGAAAUGCGUAGAUAUAGGAAGGAACACCAGUGGCGAAGGCGACUACCUGGACUGAUACUGACACUGAGGUGCGAAAGCGUGGGGAGCAAACAGGAUUAGAUACCCUUGUAGUCC